UACAGAGGUCUCAAGCGUUGUUCGGAUUCAUUGGGCGUAAAGGGUGUGUAGGCGGGUUUUUAAGUCUGGGGUGAAAUCCUGGAGCUCAACUCCAGAACUGCCUUUGAUACUGAAGAUCUUGAGUCCGGGAGAGGUGAGUGGAACUGCGAGUGUAGAGGUGAAAUUCGUAGAUAUUCGCAAGAACACCAGUGGCGAAGGCGGAACUCUGGGCCGGAACUGACGCUGAGGAGCGAAAGCGUGGGGAGCGAACAGG
rnacentral:rRNA from 1 species